AGCAACAGACCGUCUCACGUGAGCUCAGGGGAAGAGUCUCGAGCAGACACUUAACCGUCUCCCCACGCGCGUCACUGGAGAGAGACGGCAAGGGCUCCACCUUAAUCAUGCUGAGACCAAGGUGCUGACAGCAAUCGUCCUGGUAGAAGUUCUGCUGCUGUAGCAGUAUGGGUAAUAUCCAGAGCAGAAGGAGUCCUGUCCUGAAGGGUUUCUUCAGAACUGUCCUUCACAGCGUAUGAUCGCUUUUCUGACCUCUGCUUAACUGAGGAGUAUGCCUGCUUCUGUGGCAACCUGGAAAACAAUAUGACAAUAUUCCCAUAAUACUGAAGGAAAGGAUGUCUGGAUUACAACAGCUGGGGCUUCUUGGAUUUCCAUCUGGGUAUUUGAUCGUGCCUGUUCCCACAACGGAGGCCAUUUAUAUUUUUUCAAAUCGUCCUGAAAAUAAUAGACUAGGAUCUGACCAUCUUCACUUAUAGCUUCUGAGAAACAGGAAUGAAAACUAUUAAUAUGAA